rnacentral:rRNA from 1 species
CACGUAGGGGGCGAGCGUUGUCCGGAAUCAUUGGGCGUAAAGAGCGUGUAGGCGGCCCGAUAAGUCCGCUGUGAAAGUCCAGGGCUCAACCCUGGGAUGCCGGUGGAUACUGUCGGGCUCGAGUCCGGAAGAGGAGUGUGGAAUUCCUGGUGUAGCGGUGAAAUGCGCAGAUAUCAGGAGGAACACCAAUGGCGAAGGCAGCACUCUGGGACGUGACUGACGCUGAGACGCGAAAGCGUGGGGAGCAAACAGG